rnacentral:sRNA from 1 species
AGUUUGCACUUACUGGGAAGGGUGAGAGCCUUCGAUUAAGGUUCGACUCGAGCGAAAGCGAGAGAACGUUGCCAACGGCAACGGCCCGAAGGGUGAGGAGCGAAGCGACGAAUAAUUCUUCCCCCACCACCA